CACACUGGUAGGGAGGCCAUGGUGGGUGCUCCUGAGCCUGGAAAAGAAGAGGAGGAGAGAGCCUUGUCUUCCAAAGGGGGAAAUGCACCAUGUGGAGUACUGGGGACCUGCUCAGUUUUCCAGCCAGAGAUCACCAAACUUUGCUGUGCUUCCCAAACUCCAGAUCCUAAAAAUCCCUUGGGACCUUGCACCUUGAUCCUCUGCACCCAGAACUGUGUCUCCCAGCCGUGCUCCAGAGAUUUCUGUCCUAUCGUCCUGUCCUGGAGGUGAGCACCCUGGUCUCCUGCUCUUUCUACUCUGACUUCCGGUUGUGCUGUGUGAAUCCCAGCCAACUACUCUUGGAUGCUUCUCAGCUUGUGUCUACCCCUCAGCAUCCUGGAGCUCAGCCACCAUGCUUUCUCCUAGUCCAGCCUGGCCUCCUGCACAAGAAUUGCUGUAAAUGUUUUCAACAGAUUCAGAACAUUGCAGCAGCCAUGAAAAGACAUAAAGCAGGACUUUUAGAAUCAGAAAGUCGCAAGAACCAUAAAAUAAGUGUGUUUGGGGUGAGGGGGAGGAUUUUUUAGGGGAGAAAAGGUAAUAUUUUUUACUGCAAUACAUUUUUAGUUUAAAUACACCAUAGUUUUAAAAGUAAAACAUUUAUUGGUACAUUUCAGAUAUACAUAAUGAUGAUAACACUCAUCAUAGGGAAUUUGCUACAUCAUGUUUUAUAUAAGCCCUUGUACAUAAAAAUACAUAAGAAAAAGUUUUGUUUUGUGGUUCGGAGGAUUAAACCCAGGGAACACUGAACUGCAUUUCCA
rnacentral:lncRNA from 1 species